rnacentral:rRNA from 1 species
GAUGAACGCUGGCGGCGUGCCUAAUACAUGCAAGUCGAGCGAACAGACGAGGAGCUUGCUCCUCUGACGUUAGCGGCGGACGGGUGAGUAACACGUGGAUAACCUACUUAUAAUACUGGGAUAACUUCGGGAAACCGCUGAUAAUAACGGAGCAUAUAUUGAACCGCAUGGUUCAGUAGUGAAAGACGGUUUUGCUGUCACUUAUAGAUGGAUCCGCGCCGCAUUAGCUAGUUGGUAAGGUAACGGCUUACCAAGGCAACGAUGCGUAGCCGACCUGAGAGGGUGAUCGGCCACACUGGAACUGAGACACGGUCCAGACUCCUACGGGAGGCAGCAGUAGGGAAUAUUCGGCAAUGGGCGCAAGCCUGACGGAGCCACACCGCGUGAGUGAUGAAGGUCUUCGGAUCGUAAAACUCUGUUAUUAGGGAAGAACAGCUGCGUAAGUAAACCUGCCCGUCUUGACGGUACCUAAUCAGAAAGCCACGGCUAACUACGUG